rnacentral:rRNA from 1 species
UUAACACAUGCAAGUCGAACGAUGAAGCCCUUCGGGGUGGAUUAGUGGCGAACGGGUGAGUAACACGUGGGCAAUCUGCCCUGCACUCUGGGACAAGCCCUGGAAACGGGGUCUAAUACCGGAUAYGACCUNUNAAGGCAUCUYNNNGGUGGAAAGCUCCGGCGGUGCAGGAUGAGCCCGCGGCCUAUCAGCUUGUUGGUGGGGUGAUGGCCUACCAAGGCGACGACGGGUAGCCGGCCUGAGAGGGCGACCGGCCACACUGGGACUGAGACACGGCCCAGACUCCUACGGGAGGCAGCAGUGGGGAAUAUUGCACAAUGGGCGAAAGCCUGAUGCAGCGACGCCGCGUGAGGGAUGACGGCCUUCGGGUUGUAAACCUCUUUCAGCAGGGAAGAAGCGAAAGUGACGGUACCUGCAGAAGAAGCGCCGGCUAACUACGUGCCAGCAGCCGCGGUAAUACGUAGGGCGCAAGCGUUGUCCGGAAUUAUUGGGCGUAAAGAGCUCGUAGGCGGCUUGUCACGUCGGAUGUGAAAGCCCGGGGCUUAACCCCGGGUCUGCAUUCGAUACGGGCAGGCUAGAGUUCGGUAGGGGAGAUCGGAAUUCCUGGUGUAGCGGUGAAAUGCGCAGAUAUCAGGAGGAACACCGGUGGCGAAGGCGGAUCUCUGGGCCGAUACUGACGCUGAGGAGCGAAAGCGU